UACGGGGGGGGCAAGCGUUGUUCGGAAUUACUGGGCGUAAAGGGCUUGUAGGUGGCCAACUAAGUCAGACGUGAAAUCCCUCGGCUUAACCGGGGAACUGCGUCUGAUACUGGAUGGCUUGAGUUUGGGAGAGGGAUGCGGAAUUCCAGGUGUAGCGGUGAAAUGCGUAGAUAUCUGGAAGAACACCGGUGGCGAAGGCGGCGAGCUGGCCUGUACCUGACGCUGAGGCGCGACAGCGUGGGGAGCAAACAGG
rnacentral:rRNA from 1 species